GGAGAGGUGGCCGAGCGGUCGAAGGCGCACGCCUGGAAAGUGUGUAUACGGGAAACCGUAUCGCGGGUUCGAAUCCCGCUCUCUCCG
rnacentral:tRNA from 1 species